AUUGAACGCUGGCGGCAUGCUUUACACAUGCAAGUCGAACGGCAGCGCGGGCUUCGGCCUGGCGGCGAGUGGCGAACGGGUGAGUAAUACAUCGGAACGUGCCCAGUAGUGGGGGAUAGCUCGGCGAAAGCCGGAUUAAUACCGCAUACGACCUGCGGGUGAAAGCGGGGGAUCUUCGGACCUCGCGCUAUUGGAGCGGCCGAUGGCAGAUUAGCUAGUUGGUGGGGUAAAGGCCUACCAAGGCGACGAUCUGUAGCUGGUCUGAGAGGACGAGCAGCCACACUGGGACUGGGACACGGCCCAGACUCCUACGGGAGGCAGCAGUGGGGAAUUUUGGACAAUGGGCGAAAGCCUGAUCCAGCAAUGCCGCGUGUGUGAUGAAGGCCUUCGGGUUGUAAAGCACUUUUGGCGGGAACGAAAAGGACUGUGCCAAUACCACGGUUCGAUGACGGUACCCGCAGAAUAAGCACCGGCUAACUACGUG
rnacentral:rRNA from 1 species